rnacentral:rRNA from 1 species
UGCAAGUCGAGCGAACAGAAGGGAGCUUGCUCCCGGAUGUUAGCGGCGGACGGGUGAGUAACACGUGGGUAACCUGCCUGUAAGACUGGGAUAACUCCGGGAAACCGGAGCUAAUACCGGAUAGUUCCUUGAACCGCAUGGUUCAAGGAUGAAAGACGGUUUCGGCUGUCACUUACAGAUGGACCCGCGGCGCAUUAGCUAGUUGGUGGGGUAAUGGCUCACCAAGGCGACGAUGCGUAGCCGACCUGAGAGGGUGAUCGGCCACACUGGGACUGAGACACGGCCCAGACUCCUACGGGAGGCAGCAGUAGGGAAUCUUCCGCAAUGGACGAAAGUCUGACGGAGCAACGCCGCGUGAGUGAUGAAGGUUUUCGGAUCGUAAAGCUCUGUUGUUAGGGAAGAACAAGUGCGAGAGUAACUGCUCGCACCUUGACGGUACCUAACCAGAAAGCCACGGCUAACUACGUGCCAGCAGCCGCGGUAAUACGUAGGUGGCAAGCGUUGUCCGGAAUUAUUGGGCGUAAAGGGCUCGCAGGCGGUUUCUUAAGUCUGAUGUGAAAGCCCCCGGCUCAACCGGGGAGGGUCAUUGGAAACUGGGAAACUUGAGUGCAGAAGAGGAGAGUGGAAUUCCACGUGUAGCGGUGAAAUGCGUAGAGAUGUGGAGGAACACCAGUGGCGAAGGCGACUCUCUGGUCUGUAACUGACGCUGAGGAGCGAAAGCGUGGGGAGCGAACAGGAUUAGAUACCCUGGUAGUCCACGCCGUAAACGAUGAGUGCUAAGUGUUA